rnacentral:rRNA from 1 species
CAUGUAGGCGGAUUAAUAAGUUUGAAGUGAAAUCCUAUAGCUUAACUAUAGAACUGCUUUGAAAACUGUUAAUCUAGAAUGUGGGAGAGGUAGAUGAAAUUUCUGGUGUAGGGGUAAAAUCCGUAGAGAUCAGAAGGAAUACCGAUUGCGAAGGCGAUCUACUGGAACAUUAUUGACGCUGAGAUGCGAAAGCGUGGGGAGCAAACA